AUUGAACGCUGGCGGAAUGCUUUACACAUGCAAGUCGAACGGUAGAGGGGGCAACCCCUCGAGAGUGGCGAACGGCUGAGUAAUAUAUAGGAAAGUGCCCCGUCGUGGGGGAGAACGUAGCGAAAGUUACGGUAAUACCGCAUACGAUCUAUGGAUGAGAGCGGGGCAUCGCACGACAUCGCGCGAUUGGAGCGGCCGGUAUCGAGUUAGGUAGUUGGGGGGGUAAAGGCUCACCAAGCCAACGAUCUGUAGCUGGUCUGAGAGGACGACCAGCCACACUGGAACUGAGACACGGUCCAGACUCCUACGGGAGGCAGCAUUGGGGAAUUUUGGACAAUGGACGCAAGUCUGAUCCAUCCAUUCGGCGUGCGGGAUUAAGGCCCUCGGGUUGUAAACUGCUUUUGUACGGAACGAAAAGGUCUCUCUUAAUACGGGGGGCUCAUGACGGUACCGUAAGAAUAAGCACCGGCUAACUACGUGCCAGCAGCCGCCGUAA
rnacentral:rRNA from 1 species